GGUGUAGCCCAGUGGUAGAGUGCAUCUGUUGUAUGUAUGAUGUCCUGGGUUCAAUCCCCAGGUCGCCG
rnacentral:tRNA from 1 species